UACGUAGGUGGCGAGCGUUGUCCGGAAUUACUGGGCGUAAAGAGUGCGUAGGCGGAUAUUUAAGUGAGAUGUGAAAUACCCGGGCUUAACCCGGGCACUGCAUUUCAAACUGGAUAUCUAGAGUGCGGGAGAGGAGAAUGGAAUUCCUAGUGUAGCGGUGAAAUGCGUAGAGAUUAGGAAGAACACCAGUGGCGAAGGCGAUUCUCUGGACCGUAACUGACGCUGAGGCACGAAAGCGUGGGUAGCAAACAGG
rnacentral:rRNA from 1 species